GCCAACAGCGUUCAAUGUUUGAAUUCAGUUCAGUUCCGGACGUUAAACACAACUGUGUGUUUUUCAAGUACGCGAGGAUACAAAAUACUCGAAUUUUGUUGUUUCUUUCUUUUCAACUGUGAAGAAAGAAAAGAGUAAAAACCCAGAAAGUAUAUCUACACAGGUGAAUUCUGUUAAGAAAUCAAAGUGAAAAUUUUUAUGGAAAAAAGUUUAUACGUUUAUGGAAAAAAGUGCAGUGAAUUAUUUUCAUAAAAAGAUAUUAAAAUUUUGAAAUUCCAAAUAAAAUUAUAGUGGAUUUUUUGCUCAAGUGUUUAUUAAUUAAACACAGUGAAAAAAUAAGCAAACCAAAGGGAUUAAAAAUAAACAUUUGGAAAAUUGAAAUUUGAAAAAGCGAUUUUUUAGUAAAAUUUUCAAAAAAGAGGAAACAAUAAGAAAAGUCGUGUAUUGAGG